UCUCCUGGAAACGGGUGGUAAUGCCGGAUGCUCCAACAUGACGCAUGUCGUGUCGGGAAAGAUUCUAUCGGUAUGGGAUGGGGUCGCGUCCUAUCAGCUUGAUGGCGGGGUAACGGCCCACCAUGGCUUCGACGGGUAGCCGGCCUGAGAGGGCGACCGGCCACAUUGGGACUGAGAUACGGCCCAGACUCCUACGGGAGGCAGCAGUGGGGAAUAUUGCACAAUGGGCGCAAGCCUGAUGCAGCGACGCCGCGUGCGGGAUGACGGCCUUCGGGUUGUAAACCGCUUUUGACUGGGAGCAAGCCCUUCGGGGUGAGUGUACCUUUCGAAUAAGCACCGGCUAACUACGUGCCAGCAGCCGCGGUAAUACGUAGGGUGCAAGCGUUAUCCGGAAUUAUUGGGCGUAAAGGGCUCGUAGGCGGUUCGUCGCGUCCGGUGUGAAAGUCCAUCGCUUAACGGUGGAUCCGCGCCGGGUACGGGCGGGCUUGAGUGCGGUAGGGGAGACUGGAAUUCCCGGUGUAACGGUGGAAUGUGUAGAUAUCGGAAAGAACACCA
rnacentral:rRNA from 1 species